rnacentral:lncRNA from 1 species
UGGAUGGGCUCACAGUGGAUGGGCUCACAGUUGGAUUGGCUCACCAUGGAUGGGCUCACAGUGGAUGGGCUCACAGUUGGAUGGGCUCACAGUGGAUGGGAUCACAGUGGAUGGGCUCACAGCAGUCCUCUCACCUGGCUGCACAUCCAAUCACCUGGGUCCUCUUAUAUUUCCCAGGACUCCGUGGCACACCUGGCCCAUUAAAUCAGAAAGUUUGGGGUGAUGAGCCAGGCAUAAGUAUGUUUUAGGAUCCCUAAGUGGUUCCAGUGUGACUCAAACUUUGGGAACCAUGGGGCUACAGGACAGGAUAGAUUGUGGGCAGCCAGCCAGGACUCAACCAUGUUCAAAGCGCUUUCUUAUCCUUGCUGUCAUCGCCCGCUGAGGAGUCACACCAUUAUACCCAUUGUACCGAGGAGGAAAGUGAGGCCUACGGUGUUGCCACACCUCCUGAGACAGUCAUUGUUAAGGCUGGGACGAGAGCCCUGUCUCUGGACCCUCAAAGCUGACUCCUCCUACAUAGGCGCAGCUACAGAGGGCCCUUGGGAAUAGUCACAAAGAGACAAGGACCUGGACUUCCAGAGAUUGCAAGGUUCUGGGAGACAUGCCAACCUUUCCUGGGAGGAGGUUCUGACGGUGGCAGGGGUGGCAUAGCAAGAGCAUCCUUGAAGCCGGCAGCGAGGGCUUUGCACGCUGGGUGCAGGCCAGCACACUGAGCCAGCUCACACCUUGGCCCCAAGUGGGCCCUGGUUCCACCCCAGGAACUUGUUCAUCUGGCUUCAUCCAGUGGUGUGUGGGGAUCUGUUCCGGGACAGCCGGGCCCAGACAUCACCUCUUUAUCUAAGUCUUUCCUGGCCCUCCUCUGUUAACAAAAAGGCAGCUUAACAGGGAAUGGAAGGUUAACAGCAGCUUUCAACUUCCUCUAGGUCUGUGUUGGAAACAUGGCCAUUCACAUACAGCCCAAGGCACCAUUGGCAGGAAAAUCAGAGGGGCCCUCAGCAACUCUGGGGCUGGCUUAGCUCCCACCCAUUGCCCUAGUCCUCGAAGACUGUCAGCAGCCACCCGUCCAGCUCAUCCCCUCCCUCGUCUGUCUAUUUCAGAGGCCAGAGGAAGGCAGAGAAGAUGAGGAGACCAGCUAAGUUGCAUAGUGCAGAAUAAUGCACUGCCUUGCAGCCACCCAGACCAGAGUUCAAAUCCCAGCUCUGCUGUGUGCUCUUACUAGGUGAUCUUGGAGAAGCUGCCUGACCCCUCCAGGCCUUGGAACUCUAAUCUAUAAAAUGGUGGUGUUAAUAACCGUCAUCUCCAGUAUCUGUGACGCUGUGGGUUAAGUAACAUCCGCUCUGGCUGUGGGAUCCUAGACAUGUUAUUUUGCCUCCCUCUGCUUCAGUGAACCCAUCUUUAAAAUGGGAAUGAUAACUCUUACUCAUAGAGGUGGAGUAAGGAUUAAAUCCAUUAAAUGAAUCAAUCUACACAAAGUACUUAGAACAACAUCUGGCCUGUCCCAAGAGCUUGGCACACCCCCCACGCCCCACCUCCCUCCUGCGGUCAGGGGCCCCCUAGGCAGGGAUAGUCUCUUGGUGUCUCUUUCUUCUUAAGUGGAAGAUGGCCCCAGGACAGAGGGAGCAGCGAGGGCCUGGAUGCCCUGGAGGAGUGAAGAACCAUAGAGAUUGGUUUCCAAACUCAAAUAGUACUUAGUGAGCACCAGCCCUGUGCCAGGCACCGGGCUGGACACGCUGGCAGCAUUUCCUCUGAUCCAAGUGCAACCCUGAGGGGCACGGUUCCCAGCAUUUCUGGAGGGGAACCCAAGAGUCAGAGAUGUCAGGGACAGCCAACUGCCCUUGGAGAAGCGGAAUAGAAGGAAUUCGAAACCAUGACCUGUGACUCUGUGUCCCCUAUUCUGCCUUCAUCAUGCCACGCUCUUCAUGUCUCAAAUAGAAGUUCCUGCAGAGGAGGUGUCAGGCUCAGCGAGCAAAGCUGGGCCCUGUGGAAUCACUGAAUAGCAGAUUUCAAGUCACUAUAAGCACCCUGUCUAACAGUCCAAGCUUCCCCAAGCUGAGAAGUGCUGCCUUAGGGGGAAUGGGCCCCCUGUCCCCAGUCGUGGCAUCUCAGAAGCUCUUCCUGGCUCCCUGGAUUGGUGUGAGUUCCCUGCUAGGUCAUCCCACCCUAGAGUUCAUCACACUGUGUGGUAACUGAUGGAUCACAGUUACAGUCUGAAAGAGCUUCACUCUCCUAGCGGCAGCAGACCUGGAAUGUCCCAGUGCUGUGGGAAGCCGGCUCAGCGCCUGAGAGUCUCCAUGCUGCACGACCUGGGAAGUGAGCGCCCUUUGAAGGGAAUCACAGCCAAAUCAGUUUUCCCUGUUUGUAAAAUGGGGUGCAGAGCUGAGGAGAGUUGGCUAUCAUCACACUCCCUGCAGAGCAGUGGGCAGCUGACUGGGAAGCCCCGACACAGGCACCCAGACCAUGGCCCAGGCAGGGCAGAGCCCAGGGCAAAGAGUUUCCAAGACUUCUCUCCCCAGUGCUCAGGGACCCUCUGGACAUUAGUGGCUGAUUUGAGAAGGUCAGGCAAAAAACUCAAGGCCUAAAGGAGUGAAAUAGAAGAUCCAGGACCUGGGUGGCUUGAUAAGGAGACAUGAGCACCAAGCUUGUGGUCAGAAGAAGUGGAUUCAAGAGCUAGACAGUUUAGAGAGAUGUUGACAAUAACGCCAGAAACCCAGGCUGAGAACAAUAACCUUGGUGGGCACAGAUGCUCCCUCUUAGCUGUGGGCUUAGGGGCAGUGAAGGCCCCAUUAUCAGGCUGAGGAGACCAACCAAGCUUGCAUGCAGACGCUCUCCGUUCCUGGGCCGGAUCCCGGGAGACCCUGGCAUACAGGGCUUUCUUUCAGGCAGUAACCAACACUGGGGGCUCAGGCCACAGGCACGCCUCACUCAGCUCUCCCCCGCCCUUGCUGCCUCAGGGGCUGGGAGGACAGAAAGCUCCUUGCGGGCAGGCACUUCCCCAGGAAAGGCAGACCGGUGGAGUCUGGAUGCAGAGCUUUCUGCCAACAGAACUUCCCACGGGCAGCCUGAAAUGAGCAGCAAUUACACGUGGCCUCUAGGGCCACAUUUGAUAAGAAGAGCUGCAAUUUACUGUGUCCCUACUAUGUAC